rnacentral:rRNA from 1 species
GCCUAAAACCUAGCCCCACACAACCUGAAUAAUAGAGAUAUACCACCAAAACCCAAUAAAACAUUCUACACUAUUAGUAAAGGCGAUUGAAAAAUGUCUUGGAGCUUUAGAGAUAGUACCGCAAGGGAAAAGUGAAAUAGAAGUGAAAUAAACCUUAAGCAAAAUAUAGCAGAGAUUUAACCUCGUACCUUUUGCAUCAUGGUUUAGCCAGUCCACCCAAGCAAAAAGAAAUUUUAGUUUGACCCCCCGAAACUAGACGAGCUACUUCAGAACAGCCUUCAAGAGCAAACCCGUCUCUGUUGCAAAAGAGUGGGAAGAUUUUCAAGUAGCGGUGAUAUACCUAUCGAGCCUAGAGAUAGCUGGUUAUUCAGGAAAAGGAUAUGAGUCCAACCUUAAGUCUCUUACUAACCUUUAAUAUAUACAUAGACUUAAGAGCCAUUCAAAUAAGGUACAGCUUAUUUGAAAUAGGAUACAACCUCAACCAUAGGGUAAUGUUUACUUUAACUGUAACAAAGUGGGCCUAAGAGCAGCCACCUUUUAAAAAGCGUUAAAGCUUCACUACAACUUCUACUUAAUACCUAUAAUUAACCAAAACCCCUAACUACCACUGAAUGACUUCAUAAAUAUAUGAAAGACCUCAUGCUAAAACUAGUAACAAGAAGUUAACCCUUCUCCUAAUUGCAAGUGUAAGCCGACAUGGAUCCCCCAUCGACACUUACCGUUUAUGAACCUACUGUAGCAACACAUCAAGAAAAUCCUACACCAUACGCAUAAUAAACACACGAACGUUAACCUUACACCAGAGCAAUUCAAGAAAGAUUAAAAGAAGAGGAAGGAACUCGGCAAAUAACUAACCCCGCCUGUUUACCAAAAACAUCGCCUCCUGACAAACAAUAGGAGGUCCCGCCUGCCCAGUGACUWUACGUUCAACGGCCGCGGUACCCUAACCGCGCGAAGGUAGCGCAAUCACUUGUCCUUUAAAUGUGGACUAGUAUGAACGGCAUAACGAGGGUUAUGCUGUCUCCCUCUUCCAAUCAGUGAAACUGAUCCCCCCGUGAAGAAGCGGGGAUAAAAUUAUAAGACGAGAAGACCCCAUGGAGCUUUAAACCCAAAGUCAACUGCUGCCACAUGUAUCACCCAAGCUUUAGCAGACCCUGUCACUUUGGUUUUCGGUUGGGGUGACCGCGGAGUAAAAUAAAACCUCCACGAUGAACGGAACUAAAUCCUAAUCCAAGAGCUACAACUCAAAGAAUCAAAACUUUGACAUAAAUUGAUCCAAAUUAACUUGAUCAACGAACCAAGUUACCCUGGGGAUAACAGCGCAAUCCAUUUUUAGAGCUCCUAUCGACAAAUGGGUUUACGACCUCGAUGUUGGAUCAGGGUAUCCCAGUGGUGCAGCCGCUACUAAAGGUUCGUUUGUUCAACGAUUAAAACCCU